ensembl:lncRNA
GUAAACCAGGGUUGGGGUCAAUUCCAGUAAAUUCCAGAAGUACACUGAAAUUCCAAUUCACUUCAAUGCUUUUCAGUGAGGAAAAUUUGCAAUUGGAAUUUGUUUUUUAAAACUUUCUAAAUGAAAUUGAUCCCAACCCUGGUGUAAAGUUUAACCACAUAAUUCAGUGGAUUCUUGGGUCGUGUUCUUUAGGAAAAAAUAACUAUUUGCUUGUCCCUCUGAACCAAACCCUGAUGUUAAAGGCAGAGUGCAGCAAAUGUUAAUGAUGUCAGUGUUAAUCCAGAUGAGGAUGCUAAUGAUGUCAGUGUUAAUCCAGAUGAGGAUGCUAAUGAUGUCAGUAUUAAUCCAGGUGAGGAUGCAGAUCUGACAGCUAAGAGGAGAGUCUCUGCCAGCAAAUUCAAAACACGGUCACUGGAAAGAAACCCAUCCCACCACUCUCUGGGAAAACUGGAGCCCAGCAGCUUUUUCACCAAUAAGUCCUACUGCUCCAAACUUAAAACACAGUCUCUAGGCAGAAAGCCAUCAAUAGAAAACAAGCCAUCAAUGGACUCUCUUGGAAAACUGAAAGCAAACAGCCUGUUCACCAAGAUGAUCGGCCUGAAGUCAUUUGGUAAAUUCAAAACGCUGUCCCUGGACAGAAAGCCAUCACUAGACAAGAAUCCAUCACUAGACUCCCUUGGAAAACUGGAAUCCAGUAGCUCUUUCACCAAGGUAUCCACCUCAAAGCCGUGCAGCAGACUGAAUAUUCCCGAUAUUAGACAACCAUCUUUGGAGUCCAUCCCAUUUCUGCCUAGAGACUCCACCUCCCAUACCUUCCCAUCUUGCAAACCCAAGCCCCCAGCUUCCACCUCCUACAUCCUGCCAUACUUCAGACCCAAGCCCAGCUCAGCCUUUGACCUCAAGGCCCACUACGCCAUGGUGCGCUCCAAUCAGUUGGACUGCUCCAUGAAGGGUUUGAAGGACCACAAGAGUAGGAACCUCCUCUACCCGGUGUUGCAGAG